GCAAGUCGAACGCGUUGGCCCAAUUGAUUGAUGGUGCUUGCACCUGAUUGAUUUUGGUCGCCAACGAGUGGCGGACGGGUGAGUAACACGUAGGUAACCUGCCCAGAAGCGGGGGACAACAUUUGGAAACAGAUGCUAAUACCGCAUAACAACGUUGUUCGCAUGAACAACGCUUAAAAGAUGGCUUCUCGCUAUCACUUCUGGAUGGACCUGCGGUGCAUUAGCUUGUUGGUGGGGUAAUGGCCUACCAAGGCGAUGAUGCAUAGCCGAGUUGAGAGACUGAUCGGCCACAAUGGGACUGAGACACGGCCCAUACUCCUACGGGAGGCAGCAGUAGGGAAUCUUCCACAAUGGGCGCAAGCCUGAUGGAGCAACACCGCGUGAGUGAAGAAGGGUUUCGGCUCGUAAAGCUCUGUUGUUAAAGAAGAACACGUAUGAGAGUAACUGUUCAUACGUUGACGGUAUUUAACCAGAAAGUCACGGCUAACUACGUGCCAGCAGCCGCGGUAAUACGUAGGUGGCAAGCGUUAUCCGGAUUUAUUGGGCGUAAAGAGAGUGCAGGCGGUUUUCUAAGUCUGAUGUGAAAGCCUUCGGCUUAACCGGAGAAGUGCAUCGGAAACUGGAUAACUUGAGUGCAGAAGAGGGUAGUGGAACUCCAUGUGUAGCGGUGGAAUGCGUAGAUAUAUGGAAGAACACCAGUGGCGAAUGCGGCUACCUGGUCUGCAACUGACGCUGAGACUCGAAAGCAUGGGUAGCGAACAGGAUUAGAUACCCUGGUAGUCCAUGCCGUAUACGAUGAGUGCUAGGUGUUGGAGGGUUUCCGCGCUUCAGUGCCGGAGCUAACGCAUUAAGCACUCCGCCUGGGGAGUACGACCGCAAGG
rnacentral:rRNA from 1 species